UUGGAGGGCAAGUCUGGUGCCAGCAGCCGCGGUAAUUCCAGCUCCAAUAGCGUAUAUUAAAGUUGUUGUGGUUGAAAAGCUCGUAGUUGAACCUUGGGCCUGGCUGGCCGGUCCGCCUCACCGCGUGCACUGGUCCGGCCGGGCCUUUCCCUCUGCGGAACCCCAUGCCCUUCACUGGGUGUGGCGGGGAAACAGGACUUUUACUUGAAAAAAUUAGAGUGCUCAAGGCAGGCCUAUGCUCGAAUACAUUAGCAUGGAAUAAUAGAAUAGGACG
rnacentral:rRNA from 1 species